AACCUCAUCAAGUUACCAUUCCGC
rnacentral:ncRNA from 2 species